rnacentral:rRNA from 1 species
UGGGGAAUAUUGCGCAAUGGGGGGAACCCUGACGCAGCCAUGCCGCGUGAAUGAAGAAGGCCUUCGGGUUGUAAAGUUCUUUCGGUAUUGAGGAAGGUUGAUGUGUUAAUAGCACAUCAAAUUGACGUUAAAUACAGAAGAAGCACCGGCUAACUCCGUGCCAGCAGCCGCGGUAAUACGGAGGGUGCGAGCGUUAAUCGGAAUAACUGGGCGUAAAGGGCACGCAGGCGGUUAUUUAAGUGAGGUGUGAAAGCCCCGGGCUUAACCUGGGAAUUGCAUUUCAGACUGGGUAACUAGAGUACUUUAGGGAGGGGUAGAAUUCCACGUGUAGCGGUGAGAUGCGUAGAGAUGUGGAGGAAUACCGAAGGCGAAGGCAGCCCCUUGGGAAUGUACUGACGCUCAUGUGCGAAAGCGUGGGGAGCAAACAGGAUUAGAUACCCUGGUAGUCCACGCUGUAAACGCUGUCGAUUUGGGGGUUGGGGUUUAACUCUGGCGCCCGUAGCUAACGUGAUAAAUCGACCGCCUGGGGAGUACGGCCGCAAGGUUA